CCUACGGGUGGCAGCAGUGAGGAAUAUUGGUCAAUGGACGAGAGUCUGAACCAGCCAAGUAGCGUGAAGGAUGACUGCCCUAUGGGUUGUAAACUUCUUUUAUAUGGGAAUAAAACAGGGUAUGCAUACCCUCUUGUAUGUACCAUAUGAAUAAGGAUCGGCUAACUCCGUGCCAGCAGCCGCGGUAAUACGGAGGAUCCGAGCGUUAUCCGGAUUUAUUGGGGUUAAAGGGAGCGUAGGUGGAUUGUUAAGUCAGUUGUGAAAGUUGGCGGCUCAACCGUAAAAUGGCAGUUGAAACUGGUAGUCUAGAGUACAGUAGAGGUGGGCGGAAUUCGUGGUGUAGCGGUGAAAUGCGUAGAUAUCGCGAAGAACACUCAUUGCGAAGGCAGCUCCCUGGACUGCAACUGACGCUGAUGCUCGAAAGUGAGGGUAGCAAACAGGAUUAGAUACCCUAGUAGUC
rnacentral:rRNA from 1 species